AUUGAACGCUGGCGGCAUGCCUUACACAUGCAAGUCGAACGGUAACAGGUCUUCGGAUGCUGACGAGUGGCGAACGGGUGAGUAAUACAUCGGAACGUGCCCAGACGUGGGGGAUAACGAGGCGAAAGCUUUGCUAAUACCGCAUACGAUCUAAGGAUGAAAGCAGGGGACCGCAAGGCCUUGCGCGUUUGGAGCGGCCGGUGGCAGAUUAGGUAGUUGGUGGGAUAAAAGCUUACCAAGGCGACGAUCUGUAGCUGGUCUGAGAGGACGACCAGCCACACUGGGACUGAGACACGGCCCAGACUCCUACGGGAGGCAGCAGUGGGGAAUUUUGGACAAUGGGCGAAAGCCUGAUCCAGCAAUGCCGCGUGCAGGAUGAAGGCCUUCGGGUUGUAAACUGCUUUUGUACGGAACGAAAAGGCUCUGGCUAAUACCUGGGGCACAUGACGGUACCGUAAGAAUAAGCACCGGCUAACUACGUG
rnacentral:rRNA from 1 species